rnacentral:rRNA from 1 species
AGUCCACAUCGACGGGGAGGUUUGGCACCUCGAUGUCGGCUCAUCACAUCCUGGGGCUGUAGUAGGUCCCAAGGGUUGGGCUGUUCGCCCAUUAAAGUGGUACGCGAGCUGGGUUCAGAACGUCGUGGGACAGUUCGGUCCCUAUCCGUCGCAGGCGUAGGAAAUUUGAGAAGACCUGUCCUUAGUACGAGAGGACCGGGAUGGACGUACCUCUGGUGUACCAGUUGUCCUGCCAAGGGCAUGGCUGGGUAGCUAUGUACGGAAUGGAUAAGCGCUGAAAGCAUCUAAGCGCGAAGCCAACUUCAAGAUAAGAUUUCCCACCGCAAGGGUAAGACCCCAGAAAGACUAUCUGGUUGAUAGGUCGAAGGUGUAAGUGCAGCAAUGUAUUUAGCUUAUCGAUACUAAUAGGUCGAGGACUUGACCAAU